ensembl:lncRNA
ACCUCGGCAGUGCUUGGAAGCAUCAGCACGAGCCAUCCGCUCGCUCGGCGCCAUCCAUCAGCCCCCUGGCAAACGCUGUGUGACACCCCCCCGCUGAUUUAUCCGAGGCCAACGGAGUCAGGAAAAACAGCUGGUAAAUCCUUCCCCGGCAGCCGGCGGGUUAUUAAUGCGGCCAAGUGUGGAGGCAGCCAGAAAUCUGUAGGGCUGUGCUGGUGAGGGGAUGUGGAGGGCUGCAGAGCUCCAUCCUGCUGAUCUUGGCAGGAUCUGGUGGGUCCCAGGUGCUGCUGAAGCAUCCCCAAGGAGAGAGCAUUGUGCAGGGGAUGGGUGUCCCCUGGCUGGGGACAUGGCUGGGUGCAGGGUGGGACGAUGGAGAGGGUGACAUCAGUGCUGUGGGUGCUGAGUGAGGGCUGCAGAGCCCUGACUAUGAUAUGGAAACCCAUAGAUGCCAUGCUGUGAUAUGGUGACAUUUGGAGCCCAGAUCACAACAUGGGCACACAUGGAGUCCAGGCUGUGACAUAGGGUUGUACAGAACCUGGGCUGUGACAUGGGGACAUAUCCAUCCCAUGUUGUGACACUGUAACAUGAGGACACACGGAGCCCAGACCAUGAUAUGGGGGCAUGUAGAGUGUGGGCUGUGACAUGGAGACACACAUUGCCCAUGGUUUGAUAUGGGGUCACAUCAAUCCCAUGCUGAUACAUGGAGACCCAUAGAUCCUAUGGUUUGACACAGGCACGCGCCAAUCCCAUGCUAUGACGUGAGGACAUACAGAGCCCAGGCUGUGACAUGGGGACACAUAGAGUCCAAACCAUGACAUGGGGGCUUGUGGAGCCUGGGUUGAGACAUGGAGACACACAGAGCCCAUGGUUUGACAUGGGGACACACCAAUCCCAUGCUGUGAUAUAGAGACCUAUAGAUUCCGUGGUUUGAAAGGGGGACACAUCAGUCCUGUGCUAUGACAUGGAGACAUGCAGAGCCCAGUCCAUUACAUAGGAAGACACAGAGCCCAGGCUAUGGCACUGGUACACGCCAAUCCCAUGAUAUGAUGUGGGGACCUGCAGAGCCCAUGCUGUGACAUGGGGAUAAAAAGUGCCCAAUCCCUGCAGCCUGUGCUGCCCCUCAUACCCCAGUGCCCCACUGCAGGGAGGAGGCACCCCUGGGGACAGAUCCUUGUCCCUGUGCUGCCACCCCCUGUGUCCCUGCACUGUUCGUGGGGCGGGGGCUGGGAAGGGGAGGCGUGGGGAGCUGGGAGCCGCGUAGCCAAGCAGGUGCAGCUGCAAUCAGCGCUGCUUCCAGCCUCUUCGCUCAGUUCCUCAAGGUUAUUUCGAAAAUUGAAUAUUCAAUUAAUGCACGAGUGGCUUCAUGGGGCUCACGGGGCUCUUGUCCCCUGGGCGCAGGCACCCUCGGAGCAGCACCUGCUGUGAGGAGGAAGCGCUUCCUCCUCCUCUCCUCCCUUCACCUCAUCCAUGUGAUGGGGUGCAUGCAGGCAAGGACGGGAGCCCCAGCCCCCCCCCAGCUGCCAACAGAUCCUCCCACAAGGUGACCCAGAGAGAUGUCCCCAUGGCUGUGACACAGCACAUCCCCUGUGGCAGGGCUCCCCCCUCGAGCCCUCCACAUUCACUACAGGUGUCUGAAUUCCUGGGCUGGGGGUAGUUCUGUUCCCCAGUGGCUCUAUGCUGAGUGCUGAGCCCCCUGGGACGCAGCCUGGCCAGGCAGGUUGUCCCAUGUCCCCAGGGCCACCAAGGAGAUGUCCCAAACCCAGGGCAAGCAGAAGAGCUUUGCUUACUCCUACAAGGCAUAGAGAUGAAGUUGAAGGAUGAGAAAAGCAUCCAGCCCCAGUCUGACCCCAACUCCAAGUGCAGUGGCAAGGGGAGAUCUCACUGUCCCCACCCCACAGCUGGUAUGUGGUCCCCACAUGACACGUCCCAUCUGCAGGGACAUGAGCCCAUCCUACGGAGCUGUUGCCACUGACCCCACCCUCAUGGCACACUGGUAUCCAUUGUUUCCCCCAUCCCCCAGGGAUGGAGCCCUUACACCCUGACCCGCCACCAUCCCUGUGUCCCCACACACUGCUGGGCUCACCAAGUGGGCCAUGCCCCCAGACCUGGGGACAGCAAGCCUGCUGGGAGUGCAGGCAGCAGAUGCUGAGCCGGGAUUAACAUUCACUGGCAGAAAAAAAAAA